rnacentral:rRNA from 1 species
AUUGAACGCUGGCGGCAUGCCUUACACAUGCAAGUCGAACGGCAGCACGGGGGCAACCCUGGUGGCGAGUGGCGAACGGGUGAGUAAUGCAUCGGAACGUGUCCUCUUGUGGGGGAUAACCAGUCGAAAGACUGGCUAAUACCGCAUGAGAUCGAAAGAUGAAAGCGGGGACCGCAAGGCCUCGCGCGAGAGGAGCGGCCGAUGCCGGAUUAGCUAGUUGGUGGGGUAAUGGCCCACCAAGGCGACGAUCCGUAGCUGGUCUGAGAGGACGACCAGCCACACUGGGACUGAGACACGGCCCAGACUCCUACGGGAGGCAGCAGUGGGGAAUUUUGGACAAUGGGCGCAAGCCUGAUCCAGCCAUGCCGCGUGUGUGAAGAAGGCCUCGGGUUGUAAAGCACUUUCGGACGGAACGAAAUCGCGCGCAUGAACAAUGCGCGUGGAUGACGGUACCGUAAGAAGAAGCACCGGCUAACUACGUGCCAGCAGCCGCGGUAAUACGUAGGGUGCAAGCGUUAAUCGGAAUUACUGGGCGUAAAGGGUGCGCAGGC